UCAGUACGGGAGGCAGCAGUGAGGAAUAUUGGGUCAAUGGGCGAGAGCCUGAACCAGCCAAGUAGCGUGCAGGAUGACGGCCCUAUGGGUUGUAAACUGCUUUUGUAUGGGGAUAAAGUCAAUCACGUGUGAUUGUUUGCAGGUACCAUACGAAUAAGGACCGGCUAAUUCCGUGCCAGCAGCCGCGGUAAUCUGA
rnacentral:rRNA from 1 species